UGCUGUCUCGCGGUCUCGGUUGCAGAUACCACAGCACAACAACAAUUAGACAGAAUACCACAACAACAAUCGCAUAACAAGAAGAAGUUGCGUCUUCGCAUCAUAAAGCUGUUAUCACGAUAAAAACUUUCCUGCGAUCCAGAUUCUAAAACUACAGAGAUGGUGUGACUAAUAAUUGACGCUGGUGAAUAUGUAGCCAGAAAGAUUCGCCAGCUUUUCUCAAGAUCUAGCAAAAUUGACGAAGAUCAUACUGGCCAAAAAUAUGCAUCUUGUGGUGGCAGCUUUAGCAAUAACACCAAUUACAGCUCUAUUCCAGAUGAUGAUACCCAACAAAGAAAAGAUGAUAGCUGGGAAAAUGGUCUAGAACCAAGAAAUGAAUGCUCUCUCAAAGCAAGAAAUAAUGAAGAUAGUUGCAAAAAAUCUUCAUGAUAGUAUGAUAAUCAAAUUAAUCUUGCCAGCGAUAAGCAGGUUCACAAGAUAAUUUGAUCUUAAAUCAACUUUAAAGACUUAAGAAAAUGUACCUUUAAUAUCUUAAGCACCUUGACCUAAUAAUGGCAAAUAUCACUUAAUAACUAAAUGUGCUUGCAAAUUGUUUAAAAGAUUAAUAUAAAAGCAAGAUAAUGAACACUAAAACCUUGAGAAAAUUUCUUUUAAUUUUGCAGGCCUUGAUGGCAAAAGAAGCACAAAAAUCAUAAAGAUUCAUAACUUUCGCCUUACAAUCUCUUCCAAGUCCCUUUUAGUAUCAUAGUUUUAGAAUUUGCUCACAAUUUUUUUUAUUAUUAACCCUCAUUUAAUAGGGAAUUAUUUUAAAACUAAAUUAUCUGCUUUUUAGCAUCUGCCAAUAUUUAUUUUACUUAUAAAAAUUAACAUAUAUGCACUUUAGGUACAUUUGAUUUGUUAGUGCAGUUUAUGAAAGUUUCCUUCUCAACUGCAUAAUUGCAGGUAAAGAAACUUGAUUUCAUCACUGCUUAGCUACACAAA